AGGAAGUGAAGCUCCCUUCCUCUUCCUUUCUUUCUCUUUCUGCAACAUUUAACCAAUGAAGGAGGACAUGUGUAAGGUUGCUUCCAAGCUUACAACAAGCGUUUGGAACUAUAUUCUGUAUUUUGUAUCUGACAGUAUUUCCCCGGUAUUAUCCUUGCUGCUGCAUGGAACAAUGCAUGACUGACACCUUAAAUCUUGUCCACUCAUGAGGCAGACUGUAGAAGCACACUUGAAUGGUGAAAUCCUAUGGGGUGGCACCACCGUGGGUGCCCACCCACCUCGGCAAUGGCGUCUUCCAAUGAGGUCUCAUGAGAUCUCACAAGCUCUUGCGAGAUCUUGUCAGAAGAUGCUGCUUCAUGACCCUGCUGCACAACAGGAAGAAAUGCAUGCAUUGCAGCUUCUCUGACAUUGCAGCAUCUGAGUCCUUGAAGAAGCAGCACCAGUUGAGUUUCUACCUG